rnacentral:snRNA from 1 species
AAGUAUUAUAGCCCUUUUAGAAUUUGUCUAACAAUUUUUCUGUUUUUUACCGGAAAACCU